CACGUCCUGAGGAAAAAGAUGUUAAAAAUCUCUGCUUUAUAUCCGUUGACUCUUAGUUUCUCUAUGACGUUAACAGUUUUUCAUGUGAAGAACUACUCAGAUGACACUCCAAAGAUGAACUCCACUCAGGGAUUAGUGACUGUGAUACUUUUAAUACUCGGUGAGACCCAUGGAGACUCAGUGACUCAGAUGGCAGGUCAACUGACCCUCUCAAAAGGAAACUUCCUGACUAUAAACAGCACUUACUCAGCCUCAGCAUACCCUACUCUGUUCUGGUAUGUUCAGUAUCCUGGAGAGGCCCCACAGCAACUCUUCCAAGUCCCGAAGGCCAGCGAGAAGGGAAAGAACAAAGGUUGUGAAGCUACUUAUGACAGAGAAGCCUCCUCCUUCCACCUGCACAAAGCCUCAGUCCAAGAGUCAGACUCAGCUGUGUACUACUGUGCUCUGAAUGACACAGUGGCAGAAACCUCAGGAAGAGCUGAGCACCAAAUCAGCAGCAGAUGCCUGUCUACUGAGCACCUGCUCUGAGA